rnacentral:rRNA from 1 species
AGAGUUUGAUCCUGGCUCAGAGUGAACGCUGGCGGCAUGCCUAACACAUGCAAGUCGAACGGUAACAGGCCCGCAAGGGUGCUGACGAGUGGCGGACGGGUGAGGAAUACAUCGGAAUUUGCCCAUGUCGUGGGGGAUAACGUAGGGAAACUUACGCUAAUACCGCAUACGACCUAACGGUGAAAGCGGGGGAUCGCAAGACCUCGCGCGAUUGGAUGAGCCGAUGUCGGAUUAGCUAGUUGGUGGGGUAAAGGCCUACCAAGGCGACGAUCCGUAGCUGGUCUGAGAGGAUGAUCAGCCACACUGGGACUGAGACACGGCCCAGACUCCUACGGGAGGCAGCAGUGGGGAAUAUUGGACAAUGGGGGCAACCCUGAUCCAGCAAUGCCGCGUGUGUGAAGAAGGCCUUCGGGUUGUAAAGCACUUUUAUCCGGAACGAAACGCGCAGGGUGAAUAUCCUUGCGAACUGACGGUACCGGAGGAAUAAGCACCGGCUAACUUCGUGCCAGCAGCCGCGGUAAUACGAAGGGUGCAAGCGUUACUCGGAAUUACUGGGCGUAAAGGGUGCGUAGGUGGUUGUUUAAGUCUGCUGUGAAAGCCCCGGGCUCAACCUGGGAAUGGCAGUGGAUACUGGACAGCUAGAGUGCGGUAGAGGGUAGUGGAAUUCCCGGUGUAGCAGUGAAAUGCGUAGAGAUCGGGAGGAACACCAGUGGCGAAGGCGGCUACCUGGACCAGCACUGACACUGAAGCACGAAAGCGUGGGGAGCAAACAGGAUUAGAUACCCUAGUAGUCC